UACGUAGGCAGCAAGCGUUGUUCGGAGUUACUGGGCGUAAAGGGCGCGUAGGCGGCGCGGUAAGUCACUUGUGAAAUCUCUGAGCUUAACUCAGAACGGCCAAGUGAUACUGCAGUGCUAGAGUGUGGAAGGGGCAAUCGGAAUUCUUGGUGUAGCGGUGAAAUGCGUAGAUAUCAAGAGGAACACCUGAGGUGAAGACGGGUUGCUGGGCCAACACUGACGCUGAGGCGCGAAAGCCAGGGGAGCAAACGGG
rnacentral:rRNA from 1 species